GAUGAAGAACGUAGCGAAAUGCGAUAAGUAAUGUGAAUUGCAGAAUUCAGUGAAUCAUCGAAUCUUUGAACGCACAUUGCGCCCGCCAGUAUUCUGGCGGGCAUGCCUGUUCGAGCGUCAUUUCAACCAUCAAGCCCCCGGGCCUGUGUUGGGGACCUGCGGCUGCCCGCAGGCCCCGAAAACCAGUGGCGGGCUCGCUGUCACCCCGAGCGUAGUAGCAACACCUCGCCCAGGGAGUGCCGCGGGCACCGGCCGUAAAACCUCCUCUCGCCCCCCCCGCGGGAGGGAACACCCCAAAGGUUGACCUCGGAUCAGGUAGGAAGACCCGCUGAACUUAAGCAUAUCAAUAAGCGGAGGA
rnacentral:misc_RNA from 1 species